rnacentral:rRNA from 1 species
UACGGGGGGGGCAAGCGUUGUUCGGAAUUACUGGGCGGAAAGGGCUCGUAGGCGGCCAACUAAGUCAGACGUGAAAUCCCUCGGCUUAACCGGGGAACUGCAUCUGAUACUGGAUGGCUUGAGUUCGGGAGAGGGAUGCGGAAUUCUCGGUGUAGCAGUGAAAUGCGUAGAUAUCGAGAGGAACACCAGUGGCGAAGGCGAGUCCCUGGACAGGUCCUGACGCUGAGGCACGAAAGCUAGGGGAGCGAACGGG